rnacentral:rRNA from 1 species
UACGUAGGGGGGCAAGCGUUUGUCCGGAAUCAUUGGGCGUAAAGAGCGUGUAGGCGGUCCGGUAAGUCGGCUGUGAAAGUCCAGGGCUCAACCCUGGGGAUGCCGGUCGAUACUGCCGGACUAGAGUUCGGAAGAGGCGAGUGGAAUUCCCGGUGUAGCGGUGAAAUGCGCAGAUAUCAGGAGGAACACCGGUGGCGAAGGCGGGGUCUCUGGGGCCUAACUGACGCUGAGGAGCGAAAAGCGUGGGGGGAGCGAAACAGGG